rnacentral:rRNA from 1 species
GAUGAACGCUGGCGGCGUGCCUAAUACAUGCGAGUCGAGCGAACGGACGAGAAGCUUGCUUCUCUGAUGUUAGCGGCGGACGGGUGAGUAACACGUGGAUAACCUACCUAUAAGACUGGGAUAACUUCGGGAAACCGGAGCUAAUACCGGAUAAUAUUUUGAACCGCAUGGUUCAAAAGUGAAAGACGGUCUUGCUGUCACUUAUAGAUGGAUCCGCGCUGCAUUAGCUAGUUGGUAAGGUAACGGCUUACCAAGGCAACGAUGCAUAGCCGACCUGAGAGGGUGAUCGGCCACACUGGAACUGAGACACGGUCCAGACUCCUACGGGAGGCAGCAGUAGGGAAUCUUCCGCAAUGGGCGAAAGCCUGACGGAGCAACGCCGCGUGAGUGAUGAAGGUCUUCGGAUCGUAAAACUCUGUUAUUAGGGAAGAACAUAUGUGUAAGUAACUGUGCACAUCUUGACGGUACCUAAUCAGAAAGCCACGGCUAACUACGUGCCAGCAGCCGCGGUAAUACGUAGGUGGCAAGCGUUAUCCGGAAUUAUUGGGCGUAAAGCGCGCGUAGGCGGUUUUUUAAGUCUGAUGUGAAAGCCCACGGCUCAACCGUGGAGGGUCAUUGGAAACUGGAAAACUUGAGUGCAGAAGAGGAAAGUGGAAUUCCAUGUGUAGCGGUGAAAUGCGCAGAGAUAUGGAGGAACACCAGUGGCGAAGGCGACUUUCUGGUCUGUAACUGACGCUGAUGUGCGAAAGCGUGGGGAUCAAACAGGAUUAGAUACCCUGGUAGUCCACGCCGUAAACGAUGAGUGCUAAGUGUUAGGGGGUUUCCGCCCCUUAGUGCUGCAGCUAACGCAUUAAGCACUCCGCCUGGGGAGUACGACCGCAAGGUUGAAACUCAAAGGAAUUGACGGGGACCCGCACAAGCGGUGGAGCAUGUGGUUUAAUUCGAAGCAACGCGAAGAACCUUACCAAAUCUUGACAUCCUUUGACAACUCUAGAGAUAGAGCCUUCCCCUUCGGGGGGGGCAAAGUGACAGGUGGUGCAUGGUUGUCGUCAGCUCGUGUCGUGAGAUGUUGGGUUAAGUCCCGCAACGAGCGCAACCCUUAAGCUUAGUUGCCAUCAUUAAGUUGGGCACUCUAAGUUGACUGCCGGUGACAAACCGGAGGAAGGUGGGGAUGACGUCAAAUCAUCAUGCCCCUUAUGAUUUGGGCUACACACGUGCUACAAUGGACAAUACAAAGGGCAGCGAAACCGCGAGGUCAAGCAAAUCCCAUAAAGUUGUUCUCAGUUCGGAUGGUAGUCUGCAACUCGACUACAUGAAGCUGGAAUCGCUUAGUAUCGUAGAUCAGCAUGCUACGGUGAAUACGUUCCCGGGUCU